rnacentral:lncRNA from 1 species
UCUGAAUAUCUACUUAAAAUUAAAAGUUACAAAGAGAUGAAAAUUAAAAUUAAAAUUUACAAAGAGACGAAAAUUAAAAUUAAAAAAUUAUUGUUCUAAAAUAAUCUACGUUCGCACUAUAGAUAAAUACUCAAAAUUUUGUUACUUAAACCACACGACAUCAGCAAUCACGGGAUCAAAAACUGGCACUUGGCACCAUUACUAGUCAAGAUAGAAAAAUAAUUGAAAUUAAAUUCCCGAGGCCCUCAGUCACAACUUGAUGAAAGCCCCCUGUUUUAGAAUCCAUUGGCUAUUGCGUGUACUUUCCAGGACUUUCCCUUAAAAUUCUUGGCUUUAUCCCACAAAAAAACCAAUCUAAAUUCGUACCUUUCACGACUGCAAAAUUGGCUGCAACAGCACGACGCGUCUUUGUUGGCAGUGAAGAGAGCUGGCGGCAAGGGGCUAGCUCACUGUCACAACUCACACGAUCGGGUUGAAGAAGAAAAGAAUGUUGAAUGAAGAAUUGAAGAUAGAGAUGACGAAGAUGGUCA